UCCGGUUUAUCACCGGCAGUCUCCACAGAGUCCUCGGCUUUACCCGUUAGUAACUGUGAACAAGGGUUGCGCUCGUUGCGGGACUUAACCCAACAUCUCACGACACGAGCUGACGACAGCCAUGCAGCACCUGUGCACGUGCCCCGAAGGGGGGCCCGGCUUUCACCGGGCUUUCACGUGCAUGUCAAGCCUAGGUAAGGUUCUUCGCGUUGCUUCGAAUUAAUCCACAUAAUCCACCGCUUGUGCGGGUCCCCGUCAAUUCCUUUGAGUUUUAACCUUGCGGCCGUACUCCCCAGGCGGUCAACUUCACGCGUUAGCUUCGUUACCAAGGAAUUGCUUCCCCGACAACCAGUUGACAUAGUUUAGGGCGUGGACUAC
rnacentral:misc_RNA from 1 species